rnacentral:rRNA from 1 species
UACGAAGGGUGCAAACGUUGCUCGGAAUUAUUGGGUGUAAAGCGCACGUAGGCGGCAUUGCAAGUCGGAUGUGAAAUCCCUCGGCUUAACCAAGGAAGUGCAUCCGAAACUGCAGUGCUUGAGUACUUAAGAGGAUCGCGGAAUUCCCGGUGUAGAGGUGAAAUUCGUAGAUAUUCGGAAGAACACCAGUGGCGAAGGCGACUCACUGGACAUGUAUUGACGCUGAGGUGCGAAAGCGUGGGGAGCAAACAGG